rnacentral:other from 1 species
GGCACCCUGCGCUGUUCGUGAUGAGGUAUACAUGCGUUGAGCCACAUUUUUUUGAACUGGGGGUAAGCAUACUAUCGGGCUAGUAGUAAGCCGUUAGGCCAGGCGAAACCCGUUGCAACAACGCCCCCACCUGCUCCUUGCAGGUUCAUACCGGUUGCUCACACGGCAGUUGCGGGGUCUUU